rnacentral:rRNA from 1 species
UACGAAGGGGGCUAGCGUUGUUCGGAAUUACUGGGCGUAAAGCGCGCGCAGGCGGUCUUCCAAGUCAGUGGUGAAAGCCUGGAGCUCAACUCCAGAACUGCCAUUGAAACUGUUAGACUUGAGUACGAGAGAGGUGAGUGGAAUUCCCAGUGUAGAGGUGAAAAUUCGUAGAUAUUGGGAAGAACACCAGUGGCGAAGGCGGCUCACUGGCUCGUAACUGACGCUCAGGCGCGACAGCGUGGGGAUCGAAACAGG